ACACACAAAGCCACUUCCCCCUGCCACUCACGAGAGAUCAUGUCUUCCUCUCUGACAAGCGGUUUCAACUCGAUAUUUGUAUUUGAGGUCUGGUCCAACAGAAUUGGUCAUAUGGACACCGAAACCCAUUGUGUGGAGAAGGAAACCUUUCUAUAAAUACUCUUUUUAUAUCUCAACUCCUCAAAUUGCGCAGAGCAGACACUACUAAAACGGGAGUAUCAAUGAACAUUGAUUCUGCUCGGUGGCGAGUCAGCGAAAAGGCAGAAGCUGCAGCUCCCCACAGUACAGUCCACCUGCCAGGAAGAGAUCCUUUUCUGUUCUCUCCUCCAGCCAGACCUGGCCCAGAGAGAUGCCGGAAGACUGGGAGAGAAGCAAAGACAUGCUGUUGUUGGAUUCUCUAUCAUGUACUGCACAGAGCAGAGGGCAAGGGACAGUAGGCCCUUUAUCUAUGGGAUAUACCAACGUAGAGCUAGGAAAGACAUUAUAUAGAAUCACGAGAUGCUGUCUCAUGUUAUACUGCACCAGUGCUUCAUGGAUGGAUCUACGUAACAAAUACUGUAGAUGAAAGUAACAAACAAAUAAGACAUUUGGUGGAAUAAGCUAGCUAAUAUGCAAGCACUGUAGGUUAUUCCACUACAGGUAGUGUUGGCUCUGUAGCAGUGACCAAGGCUGUGGGAGAGAGCAGAGGGAAGUGUGUGGGAUAACCCAGCAGCCAGGCAGGCACACUCCUCACCCCCUAAUCCAACUGGCCGUUUCUCAAUUUCACACAUCACUCUUUGACACUUUUACAUUAGAAACACAGCCCUCUCGUGAUUAAAAUAUUUUUCUCCAUUCUCUCGCUCCCUCUCUCACUCUAUGGCGAGGGAGGUAAUGAGAGAUGGGUGUCCAUUUCCCAGUCUCUUUUCUUUCCUCACCAAAUCAACCGCAAAUAACCCACAGGCCUUUGAACCCCAUCUUGAUUUUGCUCUUUAGAUAAGGACAAUACUUAUUGUGUUCAUUGUGCUUGAGAGCGACGGCGGGGAGUACAAAGUCACUCCAAGAUAUAGACAAAUACAGCACAAAAUAGACAGGUUCAUCUGCCUGAACUCAAAGGACAAUUUCAAGUGAACUCAUGGAGAUGAGCAAAUAUGGUGAUACUGCAGCACCGGCUCGGGACCUCUCAUCAAAUGGAGGGAAAAAAACGAAUGUUGUAACUUUAUUCAAAAUCCCCUCAUACUGGUUCAGUAUGUGUGCAUGUUAAAUAUGUGUUGAAGUUCCUAUGUAUACCAUAACCCUGGUUUGAAAGGUUAAAGCAGGAAAUGGACUAAACAAACAUAGCUGGUGGAGCUCACAUAGACCCUCCCCUGACGCAAUAGAACCCCGCAAUGAAUUCCCAACAUGCAUCAGUGUGCUGUAGCCCCGGUGAUGCCCUCGGUUGUGAUUGUGCAGGGGGAGGCUGAGGAGUACAGAGUAUUUACUGAUGCGGUUAUCUUGUCCUGUGACAGGCAGAAUCAAUCAAUCACCACACCGUGGCUCGGCUCCGCCGCGCAUUCCAGGCACAGCCCCUCGCUUCUGGGGGAGGAGAUGGCAGUGUUAGCCAAGCCAAAUUUGAUCAACCAAUGCAGUUCCCCUGUGCCACAGCUAUCUGGGAUGAAGAUGCUAUUAUCUGGACGUGAGCAAAGUGAUGAAGACAGCAGAGAGAGAGAGAGAAGUCCAGGUGGAUCUUAGCUUCCUCUUAAAGGCACAGCGCCUCUGUUCUGGGAGCAAGGGGAAUACAUGACACUGUGACACCGCUGUUGCCUCUCUUGUACAGAUCAAGGCGCCAAGCAUUUCUACGCUGAAGACAAGUUUGAAUGAAUUAUCAGAACGUGUAUUUAAAAAAAUCUAACUUGUCCGUCUACCACAAUUACAUACCAAUUAAAGACACAAUCCUGGGAGGUACUCCUCAAACUGACAUUUCACAUCAAUCAAUCAAAUGUAUUUUAUAAAGCCCUUUUUACAUCAGCGGUUGUCUCAAAGUGCUUAUACAGAAACCCAGCCUAAAACCCCAAAGAGCAAGCAAUGCAGAUGUAGAUGUAAUUCCUUAAACAGAUUUAAUGACAUGCAUGAACGUUUUUAUGGAGGUUACUACAUUUGCAUUUAGCAAUGAGGAAAAAUGAGUAUAGUGUUUAGACUGCAGAUAAGGGCUGGUAAUUCAGAACUCUAUAUUUAUGCUUCAUAUUUAUCCAAUUCAAAAUACCAUGUUUCUGAUUCUAACUUUCUUUCGCAUGUUAAUGUUUAAUAAGGGACCUUGGUUAUCCAUGGGCACAAUUAUUAAAUAUCCGCAGAGAUAUUUGUUUUUUUUAUAAAUCAUACUCUCAAUUUUUUACUUAUCUGAUAUAUACAUGGGUUGGUCGUUUAACAACCAAACUGUUGUGUGCGCAACCAUAGGGCAAAACAUAUGGGGUUGGCUUAGAUUGUUGAAACAUGUAAACUAUACUUUGUCUCCAAUGUUCAUUGAAAACAUAAAUGCAUUUCCACAAUGAGCACUUGUUAUCUCUCAAAUACAUCAUUACAGUUAUUAGUUAGCUAGCUAGCUAGCGGAUUUUUGCCAUUUCAGUAUAGACGUGACAUCAGUCCAAAAAAAUCUAAACAAGACAUGGUAUCAAGAACGAAAUAAAACUAGCUGAAACAAGCCACGUACGAUUCCCCAAAUGGCAGCUUCUUGUUAUUUUUGCCAGCCAUCGCGCCAUCAGAAUCACAAAAACACAUGGACUUCUGCCCCAUUGAAGCGUGCGCAAAGUUUUCGUCAAGUUGUCAGCUAACCUGUCUAUAGGAAAUGGCUUUAAGACCUGUGCCUUUUAGCCAGUCAUAUCCUCAAUAACAGACAUAAUCCAAUGGUUGCCAGGGAAUGUUGCUUAUGGAGAAACGACAAUUGCAUCAAUAUAGUAAUUAACAGAUUGUUUAUAACGUUGGCAUGUAUCAUGAUAUGCCAUAAUGUCACAACACGGAUUAGCCUGUUACAAGCGGCAAUGAUUACACAAAUGUUUAUCUGAGGCCCGACAAAAAGAAAAUUGACUGCUUGCAUAAUUAUGAAGAAUAUUACACAAGUGGAGUAGUGGGGAUUGUUAUAUGGGAGGAAGUUGUGUCGAUAAGUGCAGACAUUAGGGAAAUGACUCUGCCUCUCUCUCUCACACCACACACACACACACACACACACAUUAACACACUUCCAGAAGUAUCAGCCACAGCAAUGUGUUUGCAUAUGAACACUGGCAACACCUGCACACACACACACACACAAUUGCAUAAAACAAGAUAGCUUAUGCAUUGUAAAUGUCCACACAACUACAUUAUACAGACAAAGGGCCUUUAGGUUUUAUAUGCCAGUUUAACGUUUAUGUGAAAUUCUAAUCAUGAU